rnacentral:rRNA from 1 species
GUAGGUGGCAAGCGUUGUCCGGAAUUAUUGGGCGUAAAGCGCGCGCAGGUGGUUCUUUAAGUCUGAUGUGAAAGCCCCCGGCUCAACCGGGGAGGGUCAUUGGAAACUGGGAAACUUGAGUGCAGGAGAGGAAAGUGGAAUUCCACGUGUAGCGGUGAAAUGCGUAGAUAUGUGGAGGAACACCAGUGGCGAAGGCGACUUUCUGGCCUGUGACUGACACUGAGGCGCGAAAGCGUGGGGAGCAAACAGGGAUUAGAUACCCUGGUAGUCCACGCCGUAAACGAUGAGUGCUAAGUGUUGGGGGGGUUUCCCGCCCCUCAGCGCUGCAGCUAACGCAUUAAGCACUCCGCCUGGGGAUACGGUCGCAAGACUG